CUACGGGGGGCACCAGUGGGGAAUAUUGGACAAUGGGGGAAACCCUGAUCCAGCAAUGCCGCGUGUGUGAAGGAGGCCUGCGGGUUGUAAAGCACUUUCGGUUGGGAGGACUGCUUCUAGCACUAAUAUUGUUGGAAGUUGACGUUACCUUCAGAAGAAGCACCGGCUAACUCCAGUGCCAGCAGCCGCGGUAAUACGGAGGGUGCAAGCGUUAAUCGGAAUUACUGGGCGUAAAGCGCGCGUAGGCGGCUAGAUCAGUCGGGUGUGAAAGCCCCGGGCUUAACCUGGGAACUGCACCCGAUACUGUCUAGCUUGAGUACAGGAGAGGAGAGUGGAAUUCCACAUGUAGCGGUGAAAUGCGUAGAUAUGUGGAGGAACACCAAUGGCGAAGGCAGCUCUCUGGCCUGAUACUGACGCUGAGGUGCGAAAGCGUGGGGAGUAAACAGGAUUAGAUACCCCAGUAGUC
rnacentral:rRNA from 1 species